rnacentral:rRNA from 1 species
AUUGAACGCUGGUGGCAGGCCUAACACAUGCAAGUCGAGCGGAUGAGGGGAGCUUGCUCCUCGAUUCAGCGGCGGACGGGUGAGUAAUGCCUAGGAAUCUGCCUAGUAGUGGGGGACAACGUUUCGAAAGGAACGCUAAUAACGAAUACGUCCUACGGGAGACAGUGGGGGAGCUUCGGAACGCACGGUAGUAGAUGAGCCUAGGUCGGAUUUGCUAGUUGGUAGGGGAAAGGCCUACCAAGGCGACGAUCCGUAACUGGUCUGAGAGGAUGAUCAGUCACACUGGAACUGAGACACGGUCCAGACUCCUACGGGAGGCAGCAUUGGGGAAUAUUGGACAAUGGGCGAAAGCCUGAUCCAGCCAUGCCGCGUGUGUGAAGAAGGCCUUCGGGUCGUAAAGCACUUUAAGUUGGGAGGAAGGGCUCAUAGCGAAUACCUGUGAGUUUUGACGUUACCAGCAGAAUAAGCACCGGCUAACUUCGUGCCAGCAGCCGCGGUAA